CAUUGUUUGGAGGGUAUCAUUGAUGGUCUUCUCCAUAUUGAACCCAACUGAGACAAUUGAACAAUUGAACGAACCUGAAGCAAUUUAAUGAGCCCUGAGAAAACUUGUGAUUUGAUUUUAGGGGGUCUUUACUGUGUGACACUCAGUUUAACACAUAGCCUGCAAAGUUUGAGUUGAUUACCUCACAGUAUACUAAUUUAUUGAAUUUCCCAUUUCAUGGGUUUUAUGACUUGGAAACCCAAAUUAUGUAAAAAUAAAAAAAUAAAUACUUCACAUUGUUUAAAUUGUGGGUCCUAAAAGUUUAAGAUUUUAAAUUGAAUUAUGGAAAUGAACUUUUUCAUGAUAUUCUAAUUCUUGGGAAAUCUAAAAAAAAAAUUACGUGAUCCAUUUUUGUGAGAUGACGUCCCAGCGAUAAAAGAUUUAUCGCUCAAAGGCAGAGCAGCAUGACGGGCAUUAAACACGUGCUUUUCCAUUCGGUGUGCAUGCCUGUUGCCGGCCGUUUGCUAGCUGUUGCGUUUCACACGAGCCAAUAUCGAACGAAAUCACAACUUUACCUUUUAGAAAACCACUGGAUGUGUAUGAGUACUGUAAUCUGCUUGACUGCCUCUCGUUGGAACACAAACUCGUCAAUGACUACCAAGAAUCUCUCAAACAUUUCGUAGAAAAACAAGUCGACGACAACAACGUCGCCGUCGCUCUGCGGAGCCUGAUGGACAGAAAGUGUCCCCGGAAACCGGUAUCGUGUUAAUUCCGGCCCAAUCCCGUCACGUGCAAGGAGUUCUCGGUUUUGGAACUGGAACGCCCCCCAAACUACUCCGACCGCCGAC